AAACAGGUUGAUCCUGCAGGGUGGGGAUGGUCCAUGCGAGGGCUAUGUUGAAAUCUUCCAUGGUGGGAUAUGGGGUAUUGUUGGUGACCAGAAAUGGCACAAGAACAAUGAGAAUGUAAUCUGCAAGAGCAUCGGCUGUGGGACAUCCAAUGGCUCCAAAGAUAUCAUAUUGAAAAAGGUUAAUCUUACCACAUGGAUGAACGAGUUGGAAUGCAAUGGAAAUGAGCCGUAUCUAUGGAAAUGCAGUUUUCCAGGGUGGAACAUAAGUUCCUAUACCAAGGAUACAGUAAAAAAAAUCACAUGUUCGGAUAAGAUUCAUCUUGCGCUUGAGAGUUUGCCUGGGUUUAGAUGUGCUGGAACUCUCAGAUACCAGAAAAUCUCAAAGGUCAACGAAACGGGCUACUUUUGUGAUCCGAAAUGGGAUAAACGGCAGGCUGACCUUGUGUGUGAACAUCUCAAAUGUGGCAAAUCUAAGCGUCUCCCAGCAGCCGGAAUGUUCUCACAAAAGGCAAAAACUGGCGACCUCAAACAUUUGCAGUGCAGCAGCGAUGAGCAUAUGAAACAUAUCUGGCAAUGUCUAACCAAGGAUGUAGAGAUGUGUACAGAACGUAUCGCCGUGAUUU